GUGUUCUAUAUAUAGGGAAUAGGGCCCUGGUCUAUAUAGGGAAUAGGGCCCUGGUCUAUAUAGGGGAUAGGGCCCUGGUCUAUAGGGAAUAGGGCCCUGGUCUAAAGUAGUGUUCUAUAUAUAGGGAAUAGGGCCCUGGUCUAUAUAGGGAAUAGGGCCCUGGUCUAAAGUAGUGUCCUCUAUAUAGGGAAUAGGGCCCUGGUCUAUAUAGGGAAUAGGGCUCUGGUCUAUAUAGGGGAUAGGGCCCUGGUCUAAAGUAGUGUCCUCUAUAUAGGGAAUAGGGCCCUGGUCUAUAUAGGGAAUAGGGCCCUGGUCUAAAGUAGUGUUCUAUAUAUAGGGAAUAGGGCCCUGGUCUAUAUAGGGAAUAGGGCCCUGGUCUAUAUAGGGAAUAGGGCCCUGGUCUAAAGUAGUGUUCUAUAUAUAGGGAAUAGGGCCCUGGUCUAUAUAGGGAAUAGGGCCCUGGUCUAAAGUAGUGUUCUAUAUAUAGGGAAUAGGGCCCUGGUCUAUAUAGGGAAUAGGGCCCUGGUCUAUAGGGAAUAGGGCCCUGGUCUAAAGUAGUGUCCUCUAUAUAGGGAAUAGGGCCCUGGUCUAUAUAGGGAAUAGGGCCCUGGUCUAUAUGGGAAUAGGGCCCUGGUCUAAAGUAGUGUCCUAUAUAUAGGGAAUAGGGCCCUGGUCUAUAUAGGGAAUAGGGCCCUGGUCUAAAGUAGUGUUCUCUAUAUAGGGAAUAGGGCUCUGGUCUAUAUAGGGAAUAGGGCCCUGGUCUAAAGUAGUGUCCUCUAUAUAGGGAAUAGGGCCCUGGUCUAUAUAGGGAAUAGGGCCCUGGUCUAAAGUAGUGUCCUAUAUAUAUAUAGGGAAUAGGGCCCUGGUCUAUAUAGGGAAUAGGGCCCUGGUCUAAAGUAGUGUCCUCUAUAUAGGGAAUAGGGCCCUGGUCUAAAGUAGUGUCCUAUAUAGGGAAUAGGGCCCUGGUCUAUAUAGGGAAUAGGGCCCUGGUCUAAAGUAGUGUCCUCUAUAUAGGGAAUAGGGCCCUGGUCUAUAUAGGGAAUAGGGCCCUGGUCUAUAUAGGGAAUAGGGCACUGGUCUAAAGUAGUGUCCUCUAUAUAGGGAAUAGGGCCCUGGUCUAAAGUAGUGUCCUCUAUAUAGGGAAUAGGGCCCUGGUCUAUAUAGGGAAUAGGGCCCUGGUCUAAAGUAUAGUGCACUAUAUAGGGAAUAGGGCCCUGGUCUAAAGUAGUGCACUAUAUAGGGAAUAGGGCCCUGGUCUAAAGUAGUGCACUAUAUAGGGAAUAGGGCCCUGGUCUAAAGUAGUGCACUAUAUAGGGAAUAGGGCCCUGGUCUAAAGUAGUGUCCUAUAUAGGGAAUAGGGCCCUGGUCUAAAGUAGUGUCCUAUAUA
rnacentral:lncRNA from 1 species